UUGCUGAAGGUGCGGUUAACGGAGCGCAAGCGACGCCCAACACACAAAACAAGCGGUGAGUGCUUUGGGGUGGGGUGACUGCGUACCUUUUGUAUAAUGGGUCAGCGACUUAUAUUCUGUAGCAAGGUUAACCGUAUAGGGGAGCCGGAGGGAAACCGAGUCUUAACUGGGCGUUAAGUUGCAGGGUAUAGACCCGAAACCCGGUGAUCUAGCCAUGGGCAGGUUGAAGGUUGGGUAACACUAACUGGAGGACCGAACCGACUAAUGUUGAAAAAUUAGCGGAUGACCUGUGGCUGGGGGUGAAAGGCCAAUCAAACCGGGAGAUAGCUGGUUCUCCCCGAAAGCUAUUUAGGUAGCGCCUCGUGAAUUCAUCUCCGGGGGUAGAGCA
rnacentral:rRNA from 1 species